GAUGAACGCUGGCGGCGUGCCUAAUACAUGCAAGUCGAGCGAACGGACGAGAAGCUUGCUUCUCUGAUGUUAGCGGCGGACGGGUGAGUAACACGUGGAUAACCUACCUAUAAGACUGGGAUAACUUCGGGAAACCGGAGCUAAUACCGGAUGAUAUCUUGAACCGCAUGGUUCAAUAGUGAAAGACGGUCUUGCUGUCACUUAUAGAUGGAUCCGCGCUGCAUUAGCUAGUUGGUAAGGUAACGGCUUACCAAGGCAACGAUGCAUAGCCGACCUGAGAGGGUGAUCGGCCACACUGGAACUGAGACACGGUCCAGACUCCUACGGGAGGCAGCAGUAGGGAAUCUUCCGCAAUGGGCGAAAGCCUGACGGAGCAACGCCGCGUGAGUGAUGAAGGUCUUCGGAUCGUAAAACUCUGUUAUUAGGGAAGAACAUAUGUGUAAGUAACUGUGCACAUCUUGACGGUACCUAAUCAGAAAGCCACGGCUAACUACGUG
rnacentral:rRNA from 1 species